UACGAAGGGGGCUAGCGUUGCUCGGAAUCACUGGGCGUAAAGCGCACGUAGGCGGAUUGUUAAGUCAGGGGUGAAAUCCUGGAGCUCAACUCCAGAACUGCCUUUGAUACUGGCGAUCUCGAGUCCGGGAGAGGUGAGUGGAACUGCGAGUGUAGAGGUGAAAUUCGUAGAUAUUCGCAAGAACACCAGUGGCGAAGGCGGCUCACUGGCCCGGUACUGACGCUGAGGUGCGAAAGCGUGGGGAGCAAACAGGA
rnacentral:rRNA from 1 species